CGUCCAACCAAUGGGACACAUCCUCGCAACUGCCCUUUUCCGUGUGAGUGUCCCGCCCCAUCUUGACUGGUCAGUCCUAGUACAUCUCAGACUGCCUUCCACCCAGCUCCAGUUGUCAGGAUGCCCUGGACCCUCUCUGCACAGCCUCCCCACAUGCUUGCUGCCAGCCAUGACCAGAACUGGAUCUAGGAGGACGCUGCAUCCCGGUGUCUGACCCCACACUAGAGGAGCUAAAGAGAAGCAAAAACAAAGACAGAGAUAUUUAGAGUUUGUAAAUAUAUUCCUGCCUCCGUGCUGGUGAUGUAUCUGCUGCCGCCUUUGGACUGCUCCAGGACUCAGAGAGGACAAAGUGUGCCCUGGCCUUCAUGCGUGCAAGUGGCAGUGCUUUGGUCACCUAGCCACAGACUCUGCUGCUACUGAGCAGGUGAGAAGAAUGAAGAAAAUGCGGUGUUGGCCUAGCAAUGGUCUACGUUACCACUGAGAUUGUGUACCACUGAGAUGCCUAGAAGCUAACUGACCCAUGAGUCAAACAGCCAAUAAUGGGUCAGAAGAGGCACCAGACCCCAUUAAAGAUGGUUGUGAACCACCAUGUGGUUGCUGGGAACUGAACUCAGGACCUUUGGAAGAGCAGGCAAUGCUCUUAACCUCUGAGCCAUCUCUCCAGCCCCCGGCAGUAUGUAUUAAGGCAUUUUACUUCCUACCUCUGAGGUCUGGACAAAUAGUGGAUUCACAGACUUCAAACUAAGGAAAAAUGAUCUCUUACAGAAGGCUUGAAGUGAUGAUAAGGAGCGAGCCACUCACCAUGGCAACAAAAAGUUCCAAGACCAUAGGAGCAAAACCUUGACCAGACCGGGAAGGGGGAGUUGCACAGUGCCCAAUGACAACUUUGAGACACAGUAAACUGGCAAGUGAAGACUUGGAAUGCUUUUUCUUAGUAACCUUGGUUGGACAUCUGUGACUUUGGCCUUGUGACAACUUAACAGAUUUUACAUCUUAUGAAGUCAGAACAAACAAAACAUGGAAUUCAACAAGCAAAAUAUUCUCACCCACAAAGACCAGGUUGUUGUAUUUCUCCAACAUCACAUCAAUGUACAAAGCCCUCUGAGAAGAAUUCAGGAGAAUAAAGGCAUCCAGCUAAGGAAUCUGAAAACCACUGGACAAAUGAGACGUGAAGAAAAAGGACAAAUCAUCCCCCAAAAAAUGUCCCCAGAAAAAGAGUAAUUGGGCAGUCAUCACCCAGAUGCAGAGGAAGCAAGAUAAGAAUGCCUCGCUGAUAAAGGUACCAAGCCACAUGGCUGACACAGACAAAAAUUAUGGGCUAAUAUUUGGAACACAUGGACCUGUCUGUUUUAGGUAAUGCACACAGAUGGUUGAAAAGUUCAGCCUCACCAGCAGUGGUGGCGCACACCUUUAAUCCCAGCACUCGAGAGACAGAGGCAGGUGAUACAUUCAGAUACUUACAAGCAAAAGUGCAGAGAGUUGACCCUCUCCUCAAUGUCUGUUCAUCUGGCUUCCUCUGGAGAUAGCCAAUGUGGCCACAUUUCCUGCAUCUUAUUUUAUGUACAGAUGUAUCUUACAAUGAAAGUUAAGCAGCAAUGAUAGGGGAACAAAUGAGAGAGGGUGUGCGUGGCCAUGGAGAGCUGACAUCCUGAAGACCCUAGAGAACAGCAGUGAACCUGCACACCCAGAGGCAUAGAGAUCACUGACAUUAUGACUUCAACAAUUCUGGAGCCCCGUGAAAAAGGCUUCCUGUUGUUUUCUUUCAAUGACGUCUUGCCUGAGACUGGGAGAAUUACAAGCUAAGAAUGUCAAGAUAAUGGUGCAGGUUUCUAGUGAGGGUCUCUUUAGCUUCAGUGCACAGUGAAAAGAGGAAGGGCAGCUGGUAUUGCUCCAUGACAGCUCAUAGUCUGCUCAAUGAACCUGCAAUCCACAGGAUUGUUACUCCUCUUAGUGAUCUAAUUCCCUUCUGAUGGUAUCACCACCUUCAGCACUGUCACAAGCAAAUGGCAAAGACUGGUUUGGAAAAGGACACACUAUAUUUAAAGCAUAGCAUCCCACCCUUGCCUCCUCACAGUGUAAAAUACUCCAAUCCCCAAAUCUUAACUUGUUCCAAAGUCCAUCCCAAAAGUCUUACUUUGUU